AGCAUAUCAAUAAGCGGAGGAAAAGAAACCAACAGGGAUUGCCUCAGUAACGGCGAGUGAAGCGGCAACAGCUCAAAUUUGAAAUCUGGCUCCUUCGGGGCCCGAGUUGUAAUUUGCAGAGGAUGCUUCGGGUACGGGUUCCCUCCGAGUUCCCUGGAACGGGACGCCAUAGAGGGUGAGAGCCCCGUCUGGUAGGACACCCAGCCCGUGUGAAGCUCCCUCGACGAGUCGAGUAGUUUGGGAAUGCUGCUCUAACGGGAGGUAUACUCCUUCCAAGGCUAAAUACCGGCUGGAGACCGAUAGCGCACAAGUAGAGUGAUCGAAAGAUGAAAAGCACUUUGAAAAGAGAGUCAAAUAGCACGUGAAAUUGUUAAAAGGGAAGCGCUCGCUACCAGACUUGGGUUCGGCGGUUCAACCGGGGCCACGCCCCGGGGCACUCCGCCGGCCCAGGCCAGCAUCAGCUUUCCGUCGGGGGCAAAGGCGUCGGGAAUGUGGCUCCCCCUCGGGGGAGUGUUAUAGCCCGGCGCGUCAUACCCUUCGGGGGGCUGAGGUACGCGCUUCUGCAAGGAUGCUGGCGUAAUGGUAGCUAGUGACCCGUCUUGAAACACGGACCAAGGAGUCAACCUUAUGUGCGAGUGCCCGGGCGUAAAACCCCAGCGCGGAAUGAAAGUGAACGUAGGUGAGAGCUUCGGCGCAUCACCGACCGAUCCUGAUGUCCUCGGACGGAUUUGAGUGAGAGCAUAUAGGGUUGGACCCGAAAGAAGAUGAACUAUGCGUGUGUAGGGUGAAGCCAGAGGAAACUCUGGUGGAGGCUCGCAGCGGUUCUGACGUGCAAAUCGAUCGUCAAACAUGCGCAUGGGGGCGAAAGACUAAUC
rnacentral:rRNA from 1 species